GCAGCCAUCCAAACAUUAGGUCCAGGAUUUGAAAUCUCUUGCUACAAGGUUGGUACAAGUUUCUCUCAGAUUUGGAGUUGAUCUGAGGUCGUUUGAGGCACGGAUGAGAUCUCCAUCAACAGAUCUACAGGAAAGGCUGCAGCAGGAUAGAUCUACAAGGUCUGGUUCUAUCUAUCUUCUUUCCUAUGUAGAAUAUCUUGAUUUGAGAUCUACAAAUUGGAUGACCUCGGUCCAGGCCUGAUCUGGUUGGAUACUAGAUCUUGGA
rnacentral:lncRNA from 1 species